CCUGGGCAUGAAGAGAAACACCCAGGCUGUAUGGGCUUCUACCUGGAAGAGGAGAAAUGAGAUACACUGGUCCACCUGGACACCUGCCCCGCGGCUCACUGCUGGGAGAAGUUCACUGCGAGAGGCCACGCUCACAGAAAUUCAAAGAUAUUGCUGAUGGGAAUGCAACAUGUUUCCACCUGUGGCAGAGGGAUCUGUUAAAGUCUAGAGAAUUUACAUAUUCAUUGUUGGAUCUAGUGAUCCCACUCCUAGGAAUCCAUCCAAAAGAUUCAAGAUUCAAGGCCGAAGACAACUUUUCAGGCAGAAUAAUAACCCGACCUGGGAACUCCACACCCUAAUUCCUAGGACCUGGGCUCCUGCCAGCUGACCUUGAGGGAUGUGUCCAGGAUCUCCGUGAAACUCAGAUGUCCCACAGCUCCUGGUUCUAGCAAUCAAAAAUAAAGUCACCUGUUAAC